rnacentral:lncRNA from 7 species
UAUAUCUCUAGGGCUGACUUUAAGCUGCUUCAAAUGCAUUUCAUCAACUUCACCUAAACAAUCAUAAUCACUAUGUUUAAUGAAUUGCCUAACAAAUGCAAUUCUGCUCCUUGGACAAAGAUUUGAGAAUUCAGGUAAACAGCUAUCAGUCACCUAGCCAGCUGUCAGUGCCUAACAGGAAUCCGUAUUAAAAAUGAACCAAAUACUCUCUCUAAGGCAAAAGAGAUCUCCAUUGACUUAGCGGAAUUUACAAGCAUUUCAUAACACACCAGAAAUUAAAUGGGGCCAAGAUGAGCACUAAAAUGAUGAGGAGCAGUGGAGAAAACUGAAAGCAAGUUAUGUUCAUGCUGAAGCUCUCUCCAAACAUGGACCCUUGCCUUCUGUGGCCAUACUUUACAAUCUGUAAAGAAAGGACUUCUAUGCAACCUUCUUCAGCUGUUCUGCAGUGGCUAUUCGUGAAACUCUUCCCCAGCAGCAUCUCAGGUCGGCAGCAGUAAGUCACAUAAAUUAUAGCAACAGAAUGAAGGUGGAAGAUGGCUAUGGACUGAAGCCUAAGCAGCUUAAACCCUGAAACCAUGAGCAUAUUCUGCAGAGUCUGCCUGCCUGGUACACAGCAUCUGCCAAAGAGACAGACUGACUGAAAGAUGACUGCAGCUGUUAAACAAAAAGCUGGAUUCAGGAUGGAUGACUUGCAGAACAGAACAUGCUUGCCUUUCUGAGAUAGGCAGAGCAGAAGAGGAAAGUAGCUUUGGCAUUAGUUUUGCAGCUUUUAUCUUGCACUAAGUCGACACAGUCUACGUAAUGCCACAGCACCUCUUAACACAAAGUAUUUCAAAAUGUUUAGCUGAAAAUAGCAAUAAAUAUUUAUUUUCAGUCACCAGUGGAUUGCUGUAUGCUGGUGACUCAGAGCUGCACUACUAAAAAGUUCACAAUUUUCUAUUGAAUAAAUUUCUAUUAGAAU